UACAGAGGGUGCAAGCGUUAAUCGGAUUUACUGGGCGUAAAGGGCGCGUAGGUGGUUAUGUAAGUGAGAUGUGAAAGCCCCGGGCUUAACCUGGGAAUUGCAACUUAUACUGCGUAACUGGAGUGCAAUAGAGGGUAGUGGAAUUUCCGGUGUAGCGGUGAAAUGCGUAGAUAUCGGAAGGAACACCAGUGGCGAAGGCGGCUACCUGGAUUGACACUGACACUGAGGCGCGAGAGCGUGGGGAGCAAACAGG
rnacentral:rRNA from 1 species